rnacentral:rRNA from 1 species
AGUAGGGAAUCUUCCGCAAUGGACGAAAGUCUGACGGAGCAACGCCGCGUGAGUGAUGAAGGUCUUCGGAUCGUAAAACUCUGUUAUCAGGGAAGAACAAGUAUCGGAGUAACUGCCGGUACCAUGACGGUACCUGACCAGAAAGCCACGGCUAACUACGUGCCAGCAGCCGCGGUAAUACGUAGGUGGCAAGCGUUGUCCGGAAUUAUUGGGCGUAAAGCGCGCGCAGGCGGUCUCUUAAGUCUGAUGUGAAAUCCCGUGGCUUAACCACGGGCGGUCAUUGGAAACUGGGGGACUUGAGUGCAGAAGAGAAGAGCGGAAUUCCACGUGUAGCGGUGAAAUGCGUAGAGAUGUGGAGGAACACCAGUGGCGAAGGCGGCUCUUUGG